GGCAGAGAGAGCCCGGCUUCCGUGCCCGCGGCGUUCGCGCCGGGGCAUGAGGAAAGUCCCCCCACCGUCCGGACAGGUGACCGGGCGCAAGCCCGGAGUCGGAGACGGCUGGCUCUGGAACAGAAACGAGACCACUCGGCCCGACCGAUGAGGUGCGCGAACCCGAGCGCAAGCGAGGGGAGUCGACCCACCGAGGGCAGGGAGGCGCGACGCGUCUCCGCGGCACGUGGCUCUGCCGCGUGCCUUCGGGACACCCGUCCCGCGACGGCCGAGAACGGAUGGAACGGCGAAUCCUCACCGGUGCAAGUCCGCCUCGCCAAGGUAGUCCGGACGCGGAGGUGGACGCUCAGCCGAAUGCCGGUCGAACAGAAGGGGGCUUACUCCUCUCAGCC
rnacentral:RNase_P_RNA from 1 species